GGGGGCCUACGGGAGGCAGCAGUAGGGAAUCUUCCACAAUGGACGAAAGUCUGAUGGAGCAACGCCGCGUGAGUGAAGAAGGGUUUCGGCUCGUAAAGCUCUGUUGGUAGUGAAGAAAGAUAGAGGUAGUAACUGGCCUUUAUUUGACGGUAAUUACUUAGAAAGUCACGGCUAACUACGUUCCAGCAGCCGCGGUAAUACGUAGGUGGCAAGCGUUGUCCGGAUUUAUUGGGCGUAAAGCGAGUGCAGGCGGUUUCAUAAGUCUGAGGUGAAAGCCUUUGGCUCAAAC
rnacentral:rRNA from 1 species